rnacentral:rRNA from 1 species
GACGAACGCUGGCGGCGUGCCUAAUACAUGCAAGUUGAGCGAUGAAGAUUGGUGCUUGCACCAAUUUGAAGAGCAGCGAACGGGUGAGUAACGCGUGGGGAAUCUGCCUUUGAGCGGGGGACAACAUUUGGAAACGAAUGCUAAUACCGCAUAACAACUUUAAACAUAAGUUUUAAGUUUGAAAGAUGCAAUUGCAUCACUCAAAGAUGAUCCCGCGUUGUAUUAGCUAGUUGGUGAGGUAAAGGCUCACCAAGGCGAUGAUACAUAGCCGACCUGAGAGGGUGAUCGGCCACAUUGGGACUGAGACACGGCCCAAACUCCUACGGGAGGCAGCAGUAGGGAAUCUUCGGCAAUGGACGGAAGUCUGACCGAGCAACGCCGCGUGAGUGAAGAAGGUUUUCGGAUCGUAAAACUCUGUUGGUAGAGAAGAACGUUGGUGAGAGUGGAAAGCUCAUCAAGUGACGGUAACUACCCAGAAAGGGACGGCUAACUACGUG